rnacentral:rRNA from 1 species
GUGUCAGCAGCCGCGGUAAUACAGAGACUGCAAGCGUUAUUCGGAUUCACUGGGCGUAAAGGGUGCGCAGGUGGCCAAGUGUGUUAGGCGUGAAAGCCCGGGGCUUAACCCCGGAAUUGCACCUAAAACUACUUGGCUAGAGCAUUGGAGAGGGGAGCAGAAUUCACGGUGUAGCAGUGAAAUGCGUAGAUAUCGUGAGGAAUACCAGAGGCGAAGGCGGCUCCCUGGACAAUUGCUGACACUCAGGCACGAAAGCGUGGGGAGCAAAAGGGAUUAGAAACCCUUGUAGUCC